rnacentral:rRNA from 1 species
GAGUUUGAUCCUGGCUCAGAGCGAACGCUGGCGGCAGGCCUAAUACAUGCAAGUCGAACGGCUCUUCGGAGCAGUGGCGGACGGGUGAGUAACGCGUGGGAACGUGCCCUUUGGUUCGGAACAACACAGGGAAACUUGUGCUAAUACCGGAUGUUGGACCCUUCGGGGGAAAGAUUUAUACGCCAUUGGAGCGGCCCGCGUUGGGAUUAGGCUAGUUGGUGGGGUAAAGGCCCACCAAGGCGACG